UAGAGUCGGCACGGUCGGCAGGAGGUGGAGGCGAUGGUGGUGGUUACCGGCACGUUGGUGUAGUGGUGGCACAUCAGCGAUACUCUAAUGUAUCCAAUGAGUGCAGCAACAUACGCCGGUAGUGGUGGUGUGGCGACGGUGACAGUGGUAGUUGUAGCGGCAGUGUGGCGGAUCGGUAGUGGUAGAGAGGAGGCCAGGUGGGCCCCUUGGGCUUACAAGCAAAUUCAGAAAGGGUUGAGGGUCCGUAAAGCGCGUCUCUCUCCAUCGAGAACUCGCAACGAUAUACUCUACGUUCAGAGAGGAGGAGGCCGUACGAGUCCCAACUCGAUCGACGGCUAUACUUAGCGCGCCAGACGAAUCUCGUUCGAGGGCCGCGUGGAAAGGAGGUCGUGGAACAGCUGAUGCAGUUCGGUGUGACGGCGCCUUUACCUUUUCAACGCGGUCUUGCUCCUUCCCGCCUUUCGCGUCUUUAUCUGUAUAAAACAGCUGACGAAACGACGCUUGAAUUGCAAAAUUUAUUUAAUUCUUUUAAAAUCUUUAAUCAGACGUCUUAUAUUUAAUGAUGCACUUGGGAAUGUCCGACAUCACGGCGUAUAAUCAUAACUUCGUUUUUUAAAUUAAAUUUUAAAUUUAUAAUCUCUGAUAAAGCACAUAAAUUACGAGUUUAAAUUAUUUAAUGUAGUAAACGAUGUAACAAAGAGAGUAUGUAUUAGUGCAUAAUUAUUUUAAUAAAAAUAAUGUUUUAUAGUAAAGAAAUUUAAUAUAAUACAGUUGUAAAAUUCUUCGGUAUCGCACGUAUAUCAAAUAAAAUUAAUAUAAAACAAUCAAUAUAAUAGUUUGUGUCUUUUUUACUCAAAACAUUCAUUGCUAAUCAAUUUAGUUGUUGUUGAUUACCUUCAGAAUGAAUGAUUUGAAUGAUUAGAAUAAUAAAUAUUCGCCCGGGAGAUUUACCCUUUUUGUAUAACCGUGAAAAAUGUCAACUGCUCAACCAAUCAUUUAAUCGUUAAUCGAUGAGAAAUCCGUGACCUUUUGUGGGCAAAUAUAGACUUACGAGCGGGUAAUAUCCCUCGUAUACAGAUUCCUGGAGAUUAGCACGCCCGGAUAUCGACGAUUAAUCGAUGUUUUUGCACACUGUGUCUGUUUCGCGAAUAAAACUUCGACCGUGCAUAUUCGAAAUAGAAAAAAAAAAUAAA